rnacentral:rRNA from 1 species
GACGAACGCUGGCGGCGUGCCUAAUACAUGCAAGUUGAGCGCUGAAGGUUGGUACUUGUACCAACUGGAUGAGCAGCGAACGGGUGAGUAACGCGUGGGGAAUCUGCCUUUGAGCGGGGGACAACAUUUGGAAACGAAUGCUAAUACCGCAUAAAAACUUUAAACACAAGUUUUAAGUUUGAAAGAUGCAAUUGCAUCACUCAAAGAUGAUCCCGCGUUGUAUUAGCUAGUUGGUGAGGUAAAGGCUCACCAAGGCGAUGAUACAUAGCCGACCUGAGAGGGUGAUCGGCCACAUUGGGACUGAGACACGGCCCAAACUCCUACGGGAGGCAGCAGUAGGGAAUCUUCGGCAAUAGGCGAAAGUCUGACCGAGCAACGCCGCGGGAGUGAAGAAGGUUUUCGGAUCGUAAAACUCUGUUGGUAGAGAAGAACGUUGGUGAGAGUGGAAAGCUCAUCAAGUGACGGUAACUACCCAGAAAGGGACGGCUAACUACGUG